GUCCACGCCGUAAACGAUGAGAACUAGGUGUGGGAGGUGUCGACUCCUCCCGUGCCGUCGCUAACGCAUUAAGUUCUCCGCCUGGGGAGUACGGCCGCAAGGCUAAAACUCAAAGGAAUUGACGGGGGCCCCGCACAAGCAGCGGAGCAUGUGGUUUAAUUCGAUGCAACGCGAAGAACCUUACCUGGGUUUGAAAUGUUGGUGACAGGUGUGGAAACACAUCCUUCCUUCGGGACACCAUCACAGGUGGUGCAUGGCUGUCGU
rnacentral:rRNA from 1 species